rnacentral:rRNA from 1 species
UACGGAGGAUCCGAGCGUUAUCCGGAUUUAUUGGGUUUAAAGGGUGCGCAGGCGGGAGAUUAAGUCGGCGGUGAAAUUUUGCAGCUUAACUGUAACAGUGCCGUUGAUACUGGGGAGCUAGGAUUUGGUUGCUGUGGGUGGAAUGUGCGGUGUAGCGGUGAAAUGCUUAGAGAUCACACAGAAUAUCGAUUGCGAAGGCAGCUCACAAAGCCAAGAUUGACGCUGAGGCACGAAAGUGUGGGGAUCAAACAGGAUUAGA